UCGAGUGGAUGAGACGCGAAGCAAGAAAGGGUCAGCUUGGAUUAUAUUCAUUUUUUUCCUGAGCAAGCCCCCUAAAUUUAGGUGUGUGGAGACCCCGCGCAGACUCCUGGAAAAGAGCAAGAACCUCAGUACCUGGAAUUUAAAAAAAAAGAGAGAGAGAGAGAGAAAUCAUAAUGGAGAGACUGACAGGGGGACCUGCCAACCUCAGAUGCCUCACGAUCAGAGAUCUUCCCAGCUGGAUGGAAGAAGAGAAACCAAAAGAAGUCUGAGAAACUGACACUCUAGUAUAAGAGUUCUGGAUCUUCUUCUCCUUCAGGUCAAGUGGGUCAUGAUGGAUGGAGCAGGGAGAUAUACAGAGAAGAGCAGACCUCUAGAUGAGGUUGAUAAUCCAAAAGGAAAGAAGAAUGACUUACUGUCUACCUGGAACUCCUACAAGCUAUAGCUUCUCACACACACACCACCACGCCAAGAAGCAGAGCAAAGACGGCUACAGUUGGACAACCUGAAGUAGUCCCAAUAACAUUUUCAUAAUCCCAGAGGAGUACUUGAGAGAGACUGCUCCUUUCCAGUGUCCAUGAGGAAAGCACAAUGGUUAACAGAGAGAGCUCUAAUGGACGUCACCCAGAUGUAAGGAAAACAUACCAAACAGGGAGAGGCUUCCGCCCUCUCCCGCAGUAGCAAAUGAGGUCUACACUGCUUCAGCACCCGUCAUGGUGAAGGAACUUGCCACCUGAGAAUUGCAUAGAGCUUUUGUACAUUUCAGCGAGGCCUGAAGAGAAUUAAUUAACACCCACCCACCCCCCUGUAGCUUGUGUAAUCUCUGUGAUUUAAAAUGAAAUUCAGACAGAAAGGAGGGAGAUAAAAUCCUGAAUUUAACUGAGUUUGAACCUCAAAUACCUGAGAGAAAUCUCUGAAAUGAUUAAAAUUGCCUGGACAUAACUAGAUCACAGUUUCUAAGUUUAGUUUUAUGAUUGCACUGAGGGGUAUAUGGCUUGUGAAAAAUCACACACUAUAUACAUAUUUGGUUUCUGUACUUCUCAACUAAUCUUUUGUAGCGUCUUGAUGAAGUUUCGAUUAAAA
rnacentral:lncRNA from 1 species